rnacentral:rRNA from 1 species
GACGAACGCUGGAGGCGUGCUUAACACAUGCAAGUCGAACGAUGAAAUGGAGCUUGCUCCAUGGAUUAGUGGCGAACGGGUGAGUAACACGUGAAUAACCUGCCCUUAAUUUUGGAAUAACCCAGGGAAACCUGGGCUAAUACCGGAUAAGUAAACCUGUGGCAUCACAUGGUUUUGGAAAGUUUUUCGAUUAAGGACGGAUUCGCGGCCUAUCAGCUUGUUGGUGAGGUGAUGGCUCACCAAGGCGACGACGGGUAGCCGGCCUGAGAGGGUGAACGGCCACACUGGGACUGAGACACGGCCCAGAGUCCUACGGGAGGCAGCAGGGGGGAAUAUUGCGCAAGGGACGAAAGUCUGACGCAGCGACGCCUCGUGAGGGACGGAGGUCUUCGGAUGGUAAACCUCUUUCAGCAGGGACGAAGCGAAAGUGACGGUACCUGCAGAAGAAGCACCGGCUAACUAUGUGCCAGCCGCCGCGGUAA